rnacentral:rRNA from 1 species
AGAUUGAACGCUGGCGGCAGGCCUAACACAUGCAAGUCGAGCGGCAGCGGGAAAGUAGCUUGCUACUUUUGCCGGCGAGCGGCGGACGGGUGAGUAAUGCCUGGGAAAUUGCCCAGUCGAGGGGGAUAACAGUUGGAAACGACUGCUAAUACCGCAUACGCCCUACGGGGGAAAGCAGGGGACCUUCGGGCCUUGCGCGAUUGGAUAUGCCCAGGUGGGAUUAGCUAGUUGGUGAGGUAAUGGCUCACCAAGGCGACGAUCCCUAGCUGGUCUGAGAGGAUGAUCAGCCACACUGGAACUGAGACACGGUCCAGACUCCUACGGGAGGCAGCAGUGGGGAAUAUUGCACAAUGGGGGAAACCCUGAUGCAGCCAUGCCGCGUGUGUGAAGAAGGCCUUCGGGUUGUAAAGCACUUUCAGCGAGGAGGAAAGGUUGAUGCCUAAUACGUAUCAACUGUGACGUUACUCGCAGAAGAAGCACCGGCUAACUCCGU